UGGCAUAUUUUCGAAUAAUAAUUCAUCCGUAUUUUAGCGCCCUCUACAGAUCGUGUCGCUGUAACUGCAGAGUGGAGACGCUUAAACUGAAAGGUCGCGUGGCUUUGUGCCUCUUUGUUUGUCUAUUUCAGGAAGAGUAGAGGAAACUCGAGCCCAGCACACACUGAUAUGUAAGGCAGAGCUUUAACCCCCGACUGCCUGAGCUGUGUCGGGCUCUUUCAGGCUUUUAAAACCCCAGUCCGGUUUGAUUUCCGCAUGAGUUCUCGCGCCGGAGGAGAAAGAAGAGGAUGGUGCUGCGGCUCAGAGAGCAGAGACAGGCAUGCGGUCGGAGCGCAUGAGUCGUGUGUGUAUCGUGGUCCUGGAGGAGGUGGAAGACGACGAACCCUCCCCUCUGCAUUCCAAAGCCGCCCCGGACCACAUUUCCCAGAAUUCCUCUCAGGACGAGAAGGUGAGGUGCUGAUUUGACUGCAGGUGGAUGAUAAUGUGUGUUUGUGUUUGUUGAGUGUGUAAAGCAGCGGUGAACUUCAAAAGAGAGCGAGAAGAAAGUCGAACGGCUGCUUUAGUAGAUGCGUGUCGUGAUCUGUCCCCGUUAUUAUCUGCAGACAGCUACAGACACGCUCAUCCGUCUCUGUCACAUCUGAUUGGUGUUUCCAGGUGAGGUCCAAAAAUUCCCUUCGGAAACUCGGGAUCAUGUGACUGGGAGCGUGUUGUGGACCUUUGACCUGGACGGAAAUGCAGCUGUCAGCAAUAGGACACGCUUCACACGCAGCACACGUUCAUUCAUUCAAAAUGCACUGGCUUUUAUAAAAAUGUAACUUUAUUUUUAACUUGGCAUGGCGUGAGAUGCAUCAGAAAGGCCCAAGAUGACCAUCAACAAUUGAUGAAAAUAUAAUGCAAGAACAAACCUUAGGCCAAAAACACACUUUACACAAGUACAAAUGCAGACAUAAACGAACCUCAUGUACUCUUUGCUAUUUGUUUGAUUCAUAUGAAAAUAUUUUUAAUGAAGUGAGGCCACAUUUAGUAUUUAGAUAACAUUUUAAAACCUUUUGUAGAUUUUGUUGUUUUUUCUCAUAAUUUUUUUUUUUAAAUCAAAGGUAAUUUGCGAAAACAAUUGCGAAAUUGUUUUGUGUUGACAUUUAUCUACUUUUUUUUUCUCCAGAGAUAGAUAAAAAAACGUUUGUAAAUGUUUA
rnacentral:lncRNA from 12 species